CUACGGGGGGCUGCAGUGGGGAAUAUUGGACAAUGGGCGAAAGCCUGAUCCAGCCAUGCCGCGUGUGUGAAGAAGGCCUUCGGGUUGUAAAGCACUUUCAGUGGGGAAGAAAGUCUUGGGGCUAAUACCCUCGAGGAAGGACAUCACCCACAGAAGAAGCACCGGCUAACUCCGUGCCAGCAGCCGCGGUAAUACGGAGGGUGCGAGCGUUAAUCGGAAUUACUGGGCGUAAAGCGCGCGUAGGCGGUCUGAUAAGCCGGUUGUGAAAGCCCCGGGCUCAACCUGGGAACGGCAUCCGGAACUGUCAGGCUAGAGUGCAGGAGAGGAAGGUAGAAUUCCCGGUGUAGCGGUGAAAUGCGUAGAGAUCGGGAGGAAUACCAGUGGCGAAGGCGGCCUUCUGGACUGACACUGACGCUGAGGUGCGAAAGCGUGGGUAGCAAACAGGAUUAGAUACCCGAGUAGUC
rnacentral:rRNA from 1 species